rnacentral:lncRNA from 1 species
AAUAAUUCGUUUCAAACUGGGAUUUGUGCCUUAUAUAAAAAUUGAGAAUUUCUUAUAAAGUUUAAAUAAUCGAGGUAAUAAAAUUUUUUCACAUCAAAAUAUAUUAAUAAUCAUUUUCGAAUCAAAUCAAUAAAAUUUAGCAAGCUCAAGUGAAACCAAAUAAUAUUUAAAAUCAUGCCCAAAUCAUAACUCGCCCCAUAUGCAAGGAAUUACAGAUUUAUUUCACAGAUAAACAUAUAGGGGAGUUGCAAAAAAUCGUUUAAUUCCUUUUUCACCAUGCAGAGAAAUAUAAUUCAUAAUAUUAAAACUUAUUUCAACUCAUAUAAAACCAUUACAUUUUUGUCAAAAAUAAACAACAUGGCUUAUGACUUUCUUAAAAACUUGGCUUGUGCCAAAAUCAUUCUCAUACUCGGUUGUCAGGGAUACGUUGGUCUGGGGCUAUCCCAACCGAAUCCGUCAAGGCUGCUAAAAAGUAAUGUACGCAUAAAUCAUAUUUUUAUUUUGAAAACACAGCCGUUCCUUGGCGUUAGCGGAGUUCAUCAUCACGAGGUGGUUUGGCGUGACGUGAACUCUAGCCAUACCUCAGGAGAUACCCUAUGCGCCUCUCCGACCGAGGUACAUAUAUAACCGAAUUUCGUACCCCUCUAAUAGGCUGGUCCACAGAAUCCACCCACUGCAGCAAGCUAAACCCACCAUACAAUAAACUUUGCAAUAGCAUGACAUAGCAAUUAUUUCACAAUCCAGCCUCUUAAGGCUAAAUACACAGUUAAUAUAUUUCAACACAAAUACCAAUUCAACUAAUCAUGCAAAUAUUGUCACAAGCCAUUCGAUUCAAAAUACAAUUUAUAACACAACAAGUAGCAAUCUCCAAUUACUUUUGAAUUUCUUGGUUAAAAUGAAAUCACCUUUUAAAAGAAUUCAAAUUUGAUCUUCAAGAGGAUAUUUUAAAUCUUUCUCAAAAUAUCGGUCCCCACAUCAUGUUAAAACUCUCUUUUUGUAAAAUGUUCAUUGUAAAUAUUUGCAUGAUAUUUUGUAUCAAAAUAGCAUGGUGAAUAUGUAAUAAAUUUCAUGAAUGCACACCACACAAACAAUAAGUCACAAUUUCCUUUGAUAAAAAUCUUUUCGAAAAGCUUGUUUCCCAGUUUAAAACACUUUAUGUCUAAAAUAUAUAUAUAUAUAUAUAUAUAUUUCAAAUGAUUUCUAAAAAUAACUUACACCCACAAUUCCUUAAAAUUCUAUCAACGCAUGCUUUCCAUAAAUUUUGCACUUCACGUAAAAUAUAUGUACAUGUAUAUAUAUACGAAAUUCUUUAAAAUUGACACCCCCUACUCAC